GCCUUGGUGGUUCAAUGGAUAAGCACUUGGCUGCUAACCAAGUGGUCAGUGGUUUGAACCUACCAGAGGCU
rnacentral:tRNA from 1 species